CCUACGGGUGGCAGCAGUGGGGAAUAUUGGGCAAUGGACGCAAGCCUGACCCAGCAACGCCGCGUGAAGGAAGAAGGCUUUCGGGUUGUAAACUUCUUUUCUUAGGGACGAAGAAAGUGACGGUACCGUAGGAAUAAGUUACGGCUAACUACGUGCCAGGAGCCGCGGUAAUACGUAGGUGGCAAGCGUUCUCCGGAUUUAUUGGGUGUAAAGGGCGUGUAGGCGGGAGCGCAAGUCAGAUGGGAAAACUCAGGGCUCAACCCUGAGCCUGCAUUUGAAACUGUGUUUCUUGAGUGCGGGAGAGGCAAUCGGAAUUCCGUGUGUAGCGGUGAAAUGCGUAGAUAUACGGAGGAACACCAGUGGCGAAGGCGGAUUGCUGGACAGUAACUGACGCUGAGGCGCGAAAGCGUGGGGAGCAAACAGGAUUAGAUACCCUAGUAGUC
rnacentral:rRNA from 1 species